GAUGAACGCUGGCGGCGUGCUUAACACAUGCAAGUCGAACGAAGCACUUUAUUUGAUUUCCUUCGGGACUGAUUAUUUUGUGACUGAGUGGCGGACGGGUGAGUAACGCGUGGGUAACCUGCCUUGUACAGGGGGAUAACAGUUGGAAACGGCUGCUAAUACCGCAUAAGCGCACAGCAUCGCAUGAUGCAGUGUGAAAAACUCCGGUGGUAUAAGAUCGACCCGCGUUGGAUUAGCUAGUUGGUGAGGUAACGGCCCACCAAGGCGACGAUCCAUAGCCGACCUGAGAGGGUGACCGGCCACAUUGGGACUGAGACACGGCCCAAACUCCUACGGGAGGCAGCAGUGGGGAAUAUUGCACAAUGGGCGAAAGCCUGAUGCAGCGACGCCGCGUGAGCGAAGAAGUAUUUCGGUAUGUAAAGCUCUAUCAGCAGGGAAGAUAAUGACGGUACCUGACGAAGAAGCACCGGCUAAAUACGUG
rnacentral:rRNA from 1 species